rnacentral:lncRNA from 1 species
AAUCAAGUACAAUUAUAUUAGCACAAAAUCUUUUAAAAAUAUACUUUUACUAUUAUCUAAAAAUAAUAUAUUAAUUAUAAUUCGAAUUUUUUUUGUUGAAAGAAUAGUAUCGUGCUAUCUGUUUCAUUUAUUUUUUAAAAAAUAAAUUUAGCUUGACAUGUGAAUCAAAUAGAAUUUGAACUUGAGAACUUAAUAAAUUUUUAUGAUACCAAAUUUAACUUCAUUUGUAAAAUAGUCCCGUUCACUUAAAA